GGGAGAGAAUGGCGGUGAGGCCCCUCGCUGUGGAUCCGCUCCUGGGUUCUCCUCUGAGGCUCAACUCUGCCCCUGGAAACCCUGGGGGAGCUGAGUUAAAACCCAGUUUUGCUGGGCUCCACCCUCAGGGUUUUUGAUUCAGGAGUCUGCAAUGGGGUCUGAAGAUCUGUAUUUCUAGCAAGUUCCUGGUCAUGCUUUUGUUCUGGGGAUAGAGACCCCGGGUACCAGGUAAAGGGGGAUUAAAUGAGGCUGUUGAUUGACAUGGUAAACAGCUGAUGGUGCAGGUGGUUGUGGGUGGGGUUGGGCGGGAAGAGAUUCAAGCAGCGUUGUGGGGGGUAGGACGAGACGAAGAGGCAGGGUUCCUUUGGAAAGGCCUGGCUGGGUUUGGACCUUUGAGACUACGUGAAGCGGCAGGACAAUGUCUUUUCGAAUACUCCAGCUAGUUUCCCCUGGCCCUGAGCUGACUAGGGCUCUGUGACUGCCCUGACCUGUGGUCACCAGCGUGUGCGGCUUCUCUUCUCUCCCCGGUGCAUCUCACCCGCCUGACCCUCGCAGGGUCGGAGAUCGGCCUGCUCCAGGAACAGCUCUUUCAGGGACUCGAUCCUCCCUGUCCCCUGGCCUGGCUGGGUGCCUUCAUCAGAGCACAAAGCUAUGAGAACUGCUGACGCCAUCAGCCUGUCACUGCAGCACGUUUGAUACUUAGCACCUGCUCGGAACGAGGCAGUUUCUGCCUCCUGAGCCUGAAGUCCAAGGGCAGAGGGUUCAAGUGCUGCUCACAGGUCCAAAGGAGGUGUGGGACCAUGCCUGCUGGACUCCCUGUGUCUGCUGGGUGGCUGGUGCCU